AUUGCUUCUCAGUCUUUAGGCUAAGAUAAAGUGGAGAAUCUGUUCUUACAAGUGUAAUCUCUGAUACAUUCUGUAUCCAAGAACAAUAGGUUAGAUGGAUUUUGAGAUCUAGGAGUUGGAAUAGGAGCUUGCUUCCUCCACUUCAUGCAUCAACCUGGUAUUGUAGUACCUCUGGGGCUGGUUUGUCCCCU
ensembl:snRNA U2 U2 spliceosomal RNA